rnacentral:rRNA from 1 species
UGAACGCUGGCGGCGUGCCUUACACAUGCAAGUCGGAUGUGUCGCAAGACACAUGGCAGACGGGUGAGUAACACGUGGGAAACUUACCUCUUAGUGGGGAAUAACGCUCCGAAAGGAGCGGUAAUACCGCAUGAGACCUAUCGCUGGGAUGCGAUAGAUGAAAGCUGGGGAUCGUAAGACCUAGCGCUGAGAGAGAGUCCUGCGUCUGAUUAGUUAGUUGGUGAGGUAACGGCUCACCAAGACUUCGAUCAGUAGCCGGCCUGAGAGGGCGAUCGGCCACACUGGAACUGAGACACGGUCCAGACUCCUACGGGAGGCAGCAGUGGGGAAUCUUGCGCAAUGGGCGAAAGCCUGACGCAGCAACGCCGCGUGGGUGAUGAAGGUCUUCGGAUUGUAAAACCCUGUCGUUAGGGACGAAGGCAUGAAUCCUAAUACGAUUCAUGCUUGACGGUACCUAGAAAGGAAGCCCCGGCUA